rnacentral:rRNA from 1 species
AACGAACGCUGGCGGCAUGCCUAACACAUGCAAGUCGAACGAGACCUUCGGGUCUAGUGGCGCACGGGUGCGUAACGCGUGGGAAUCUGCCCUCUGGUACGGAAUAACUCAGGGAAACUUGAGCUAAUACCGUAUAAUGACUUCGGUCCAAAGAUUUAUCGCCUGAGGAUGAGCCCGCGUAGGAUUAGCUUGUUGGUGAGGUAAAAGACUCACCAAGGCGACGAUCCUUAGCUGGUCUGAGAGGAUGAUCAGCCACACUGGGACUGAGACACGGCCCAGACUCCUACGGGAGGCAGCAGUGGGGAAGU